UACGGAGUUACAAAGGACGACAUUAGACGAAUCAUCUGGAAAGAUGAAUCAAAGAAGGUAAUAAUCCUGUAGUCGAAAAUGUUGUCUCUCUUGAGUGGAUCCUGAGUACGACGGAGCACGUGAAAUUCCGUCGGAAUCUGGGAGGACCAUCUCCUAAGGCUAAAUACUCUCUAGUGACCGAUAGUGAACCAGUACCGUGAGGGAAAGGUGAAAAGCACCCCGGAAGGGGAGUGAAAUAGAACCUGAAACCGUGUGCUUACAAGUAGUCAGAGCCCGUUAAUGGGUGAUGGCGUGCCUUUUGUAGAAUGAACCGGCGAGUUACGAUUUGAUGCAAGGUUAAGCAGUAAAUGUGGAGCCGUAGCGAAAGCGAGUCUGAAUAGGGCGUUUAGUAUUUGGUCGUAGACCCGAAACCAGGUGAUCUACCCUUGGUCAGGUUGAAGUUCAGGUAACACUGAAUGGAGGACCGAACCGACUUACGUUGAAAAGUGAGCGGAUGAACUGAGGGUAGCGGAGAAAUUCCAAUCGAACCUGGAGAUAGCUGGUUCUCUCCGAAAUAGCUUUAGGGCUAGCCUCAAGUGAUGAUUAUUGGAGGUAGAGCACUGUUUGGACGAGGGGCCCCUCUCGGGUUACCGAAUUCAGACAAACUCCGAAUGCCAAUUAAUUUAACUUGGGAGUCAGAACAUGGGUGAUAAGGUCCGUGUUCGAAAGGGAAACAGCCCAGACCACCAGCUAAGGUCCCAAAAUAUAUGUUAAGUGGAAAAGGAUGUGGCGUUGCCCAGACAACUAGGAUGUUGGCUUAGAAGCAGCCAUCAUUUAAAGAGUGCGUAAUAGCUCACUAGUCGAGUGACACUGCGCCGAAAAUGUACCGGGGCUAAACAUAUUACCGAAGCUGUGGAUUGUCCUUUGGACAAUGGUAGGAGAGCGUUCUAAGGGCGUUGAAGCAUGAUCGUAAGGACAUGUGGAGCGCUUAGAAGUGAGAAUGCCGGUGUGAGUAGCGAAAGACGGGUGAGAAUCCCGUCCACCGAUUGACUAAGGUUUCCAGAGGAAGGCUCGUCCGCUCUGGGUUAGUCGGGUCCUAAGCUGAGGCCGACAGGCGUAGGCGAUGGAUAACAGGUUGAUAUUCCUGUACCACCUAUAAUCGUUUUAAUCGAUGGGGGGACGCAGUAGGAUAGGCGAAGCGUGCGAUUGGAUUGCACGUCUAAGCAGUAAGGCUGAGUAUUAGGCAAAUCCGGUACUCGUUAAGGCUGAGCUGUGAUGGGGAGAAGACAUUGUGUCUUCGAGUCGUUGAUUUCACACUGCCGAGAAAAGCCUCUAGAUAGAAAAUAGGUGCCCGUACCGCAAACCGACACAGGUAGUCAAGAUGAGAAUUCUAAGGUGAGCGAGCGAACUCUCGUUAAGGAACUCGGCAAAAUGACCCCGUAACUUCGGGAGAAGGGGUGCUCUUUAGGGUUAACGCCCAGAAGAGCCGCAGUGAAUAGGCCCAAGCGACUGUUUAUCAAAAACACAGGUCUCUGCUAAACCG
rnacentral:rRNA from 1 species